CAAUUUCAGUUCAUCUUGGAGGCUUAGACAACCUCUAGUGUCGAAGUGGCACUUUUUUCGUUUGGGUAAGGUCAUCAAAAAGCGAAUGCUUGUAUCAUAAAAGACACCAUUCCUUUCUCAGGAACAUGUGGUCGGAGAUCCAAGAAUCAAAUUCCAGGUCAACAACCUCGGAGGAACCUGCAUUGAUAGAUGACAUAGCAUAUAUUUGUAUUUUUGUUUGUUUGUUUGGGGUUUUCUUUUUUCUUUUUUAUUUUUUUGGUACCGCACCCUCCUCUUUAGAAGGGUUGUCAAGGCAUUAACAACAUUGAAAGCAAUAAGACAUAAAACCUUGGCAAAAUUGAGGAAGAAAUCGUGCUUUCUCAGUUGUGCUAAUCAUGGAAUUAUCAGUUUCUUGACAACUUUCAGAACGCUGGCUGCAGCACAGUUAAGGCAAAAAUAUUUAUCAAAAUGAAGAUCAGUAAGGAUUUGACUCCUUUUUGAGUUCAACAGCAAUCCAUUGAAAUUUAAUUUAGCUACUCGUUAGAAGGGCAAAACAGGGGAGUGACAUCUAAACAAUAUUGAGCCAAAUGCCAAUAACCCAUUUACUAGCUCAAUCUAAUAUGUUUGGGACAAAAAGGCUUAAACAGGGGAAGCACGGGUCACCCUAUUACCCAAACUUGCCUAGCAGUAACUUGAGCGUUUGAACACAAGUCAAUUGCUCACCGACCACUACCCACUUACCCAAGGAAGCGCACAAGUCUAUUAACUUACUAAACC